rnacentral:lncRNA from 1 species
CUAAUUCUUUGAAGUCUGGAUUUAAGUUGAAUUUUUCCAGAGCAAAUUUCUUUUUGCUUCUGCUGUCUGCUGGGAGUGGUACCAAACCUGGUUGAUGCUACAUUUAAUUUUCCACUUAAGGAUUUUGGACCAAUAGUUCCGAGAAGUGACAAGUUGAAGGUCAUGAUCCUUUUGCUGACACAGAGCCUGGCACAUGGAAGGCACCAAAUGCAUGUUAGUCCAGGCACCGUGGAGGAGCUCAGAUUGUGUUUGUUGAUUGACUGAGUGAGCAAAUGAAGAAUGACUAAACCAAGCACAAAGCUGGGCGUCCUAAGGUGGAGCUGGGCUAAGGAAAGUGACUGUCUCUAGGGCCUUCACAAUUGAGGCAGGACCUUAUCCACCAUUUGACCAGGGUGAGGAAGUAUGCAGGGCACCCAGGUGUGACCCAACCAUGUCCAUUGUUCCUCUCUGUCCCUUUGAUGGACAGCCUGUACCCACGACACUCUUUCCAGACGCUGCCUGCAUCCUAGUUCCCUGUCCUAUCACCUCUGCAUGGAAAGAUGUGGAGUUGGCCACACUGAUCCCAACACCAAUGGGAUCACCUGAGGAUGGAUCUGGUGACUGACCUUGUGCCUUCUCACAAAACAGGCUUUGGGAUCCACAGCAACCCAGGCAGAGUUUGUAACAGUGCAGGUUCCCAGGCCCCAUCCUAGGCCCCAUCCCAGACUGCCUGAGUCACUCUGGGCCUGAACCCAGGAAGAGUUAACCAUCUGGAGACUGUAGAUUGUAACAAUUUCCUUGGGUGACUUCCAGGCAGGCUAAAGUGUAAGAAAGGGUGCCAUAAAUCAGCAAAACAGCCAGCACUUCAGCGUGCAACCUGAGCAUCCCACAGGGGUCUCAGCCAUUGUACUGCCAGCUACAUUUGCUGAAGUAUGAGGCCUGGACUGCAGGCAGGCUCCAGGCCAACCCUUCCUUGCAUGACUUGCUCAGGGAUCUGUAUGACACGCUGGUGCCAUUCUGUCCAUUUUACAGACGAGGGACCAGAGGCCCAGAGCACUGAAGUACCUAGCUAAAAAGCUGGAACACCAUAUUACCCUGCCUCCCUGACAGCUUUCCUC